rnacentral:tRNA from 1 species
GGGCCGCUAGCUCAUCCGGUAGAGCACUUGCCUCUUAAGCAAGGUGUGGCAGGUUCGAGUCCUUCGCGGCUCACCA